UACGGAGGGUGCAAGCGUUGUCCGGAUUUAUUGGGUUUAAAGGGUGCGUAGGUGGCCUUAUAAGUCAGUGGUGAAAGCCUGCAGCUUAACUGUAGGACUGCCAUUGAUACUGUAGGGCUUGAGUACUGAUGAGGUAGGCGGAAUUGAUAGUGUAGCGGUGAAAUGCAUAGAUAUUAUCAAGAACACCGAUUGCGAAGGCAGCUUACUAAGGAGUUACUGACACUGAGGCACGAAAGCGUGGGGAGCAAACAGG
rnacentral:rRNA from 1 species